rnacentral:rRNA from 1 species
UCGGGAAUAUUGGACAAUGGGCGAAAGCCUGAUCCAGCCAUGCCGCGUGUGUGAAGAAGGUCUUCGGAUUGUAAAGCACUUUAAGUUGGGAGGAAGGGCAGUUACCUAAUACGUGAUUGUUUUGACGUUACCGACAGAAUAAGCACCGGCUAACUCUGUGCCAGCAGCCGCGGUAAUACAGAGGGUGCAAGCGUUAAUCGGAAUCACUGGGCGUAAAGGGUGUCGAGGCGGUUGUAUUAGUCGUUCGUAAAAUCUACGAGCUUAACUUGUAGGCGGCGAACGAAACGGUACGACUUGAGGUUUGGAGAGGUGCGUGGAACUCACGGUGUAGGGGUGAAAUCCGUUGAUAUCGUGGGGAACACCAAAGGCGAAGGCAGCGCACUGGCCAAAAUCUGACGCUCACACACGAAAGCUAGGGUAGCGAAGAGGAUUAGAUACCCACGUAGUCCCUGAGCGGGCUGGCAAGGCGCAU